rnacentral:rRNA from 1 species
UACAGAGGGUGCAAGCGUUAAUCGGAAUUACUGGGCGUAAAGCGUGCGCAGGCGGUUUUGUAAGUCUGUCGUGAAAUCCCCGGGCUCAACCUGGGAAUUGCGAUGGAGACUGCAAGGCUAGAAUCUGGCAGAGGGGGGUAGAAUUCCACGUGUAGCAGUGAAAUGCGUAGAGAUGUGGAGGAAUACCGAUGGCGAAGGCAGCCCCCUGGGCCAAUACUGACGCUCAUGCACGAAAGCGUGGGGAGCAAACAGG